rnacentral:lncRNA from 1 species
GUGAGUACUUGAUCUAGAAUCUAAUACCCAACUAGAAGUAGAGGAAAUCGUAAGAUUAGAUUUAAUAAUGAGCAAAUUAAACAUACCUUUCGAAGGUGCAUCCACCUUUUGUUUCUUCAAGCUCUACAGGUAUAGCGGACAGUUCCUCUUUCAAUAGCCAUCAUUAUUGCAAUGGAAAUAUUUUUCCUUCUAGCAGCAGCCUUCUUAAGAGUGUCCUUCUUCUUCAGCUUGCUUUCCUUUUUCUUUUUCUACUUUUUUGCAGGCUUUUUCUUCUUCCAACUAGACUUUCUCUUAGAAGAAGAACCCUGCUCCACA